UAGGGAAUCUUCGGCAAUGGACGAAAGUCUGACCGAGCAACGCCGCGUGAGUGAAGAAGGUUUUCGGAUCGUAAAACUCUGUUGUUAGAGAAGAACAAGGACGUUAGUAACUGAACGUCCCCUGACGGUAUCUAACCAGAAAGCCACGGCUAACUACGUGCCAGCAGCCGCGGUAAUACGUAGGUGGCAAGCGUUGUCCGGAUUUAUUGGGCGUAAAGCGAGCGCAGGCGGUUUCUUAAGUCUGAUGUGAAAGCCCCCGGCUCAACCGGGGAGGGUCAUUGGAAACUGGGAGACUUGAGUGCAGAAGAGGAGAGUGGAAUUCCAUGUGUAGCGGUGAAAUGCGUAGAGAUCUGGAGGAAUACCGGUGGCGAAGGCGGCCCCCUGGACAAUGACUGACGCUCAGGUGCGAAAGCGUGGGGAGCAAACAGG
rnacentral:rRNA from 1 species